rnacentral:rRNA from 1 species
AUACGUAGGGGGCGAGCGUUGUCCGGAAUGAUUGGGCGUAAAGGGCGCGUAGGCGGCCUGCUAAGUCUGGAGUGAAAGUCCUGUUUUCAAGAUGGGAAUUGCUUUGGAUACUGAUGGGCUUGAGUGCAGGAGAGGUUAUCGGAAUUCCCGGUGUAGCGGUGAAAUGCGUAGAGAUCGGGAGGAACACCAGUGGCGAAGGCGGGUAACUGGACUGCAACUGACGCUGAGGCGUGAAAGUGUGGGGAGCAAACAGGAUUAGAUACCCUGGUAGUCCACACUGUAAACGAUGAAUGCUAGGUGUAAGAGGUAUCGACCCCUUUUGUGCCGGAGUUAACACAAUAAGCAUUCCGCCUGGGGAGUACGGCCGCAAGGUUUAAACUCAAAGGAAUUGACGGGG